GUGAUAUUAAGUUAAUGGUAAACUAGGGCUCUUCCAAAGCUUUAAUACGUGUUCAAAUCACGUAUAUCACA
rnacentral:tRNA from 1 species